CAUGGAGGUCAGAAGCAAGUGUUGGCCCCUGGAAUUAGAGUUGCAUAUAACUGGAAGCUUCCAUAGGGCUGCUGAGAAGCAAAGCCAGGUUCCUUUCAAGAGCAGAAGGCAAUGCCUGAUAUUCUAUAGUGAAAUAGGUGCGGUCCUUACAUUCAGAAGGAAGGAAUGUCUUUGCUUUGAAGACAAGAAGACAAAUAGAAAAAUAAGCAAGUGUUACUAAGCUCUCCUCCUGGAUCACUGCAGUCAGACUUGCUUCCACAAUGAACUGCUUCUGUUCAAGCGGAAGGUCCUCAAUGAGGCAUUGAACUCAUAAUGAAAAAGUAUGUAUAUGUUUCUCUGUCAAACCUUUUACUUAAUGUGCAGAAUCCAAUAAGUAACCAAAAAGUGAGUAAGGAAAUAUCUUUGCUACCAUGAUAAUGGGAAGAAAAGAAAUAUGAUUUAAGCAAGGUAUCAGAACUAACACCUUUUCCAAAAUCAGUAGAAAAAUUUGUGUUCCUCUCUUGGCUUCUUCAUUCACACACACACAAACACAUACGCACGCACGCACGCACGCACACGCACACGCACAUGCACACACAAGAUUGGUUUGUGUGGGUGUGUGUGUGUGUGUGUGUGUGUGUGUGUGUGUGUGUAUGAUGAAGUACAUCGAAGUUAUGUAAUCCAGAUUGACAGAUUAGAAAAACUUAAACAGAUCACACAUUAUUACUCUUGUUUUGAAAGCUAUGACUUCACAGUGGUUACUGCUCAUCACUAGAACAUGUAUUAGUCAUUAUGAUCCAACAGCAUUUAUAUCUUCUCUGGUAACUGGUAGUUUCUGAACUUUAUAUGUGUAAGAGUCACUUGUAAGGCUCUUAAAUGUACAUUACCUAAAAUACAUUAAUAGCUCUA